UCAGUCAUGCCACUAUUCAUUUUCUGAAUGCAUGAUUUGUACAAGCAAGGCAUUUUUUGUCAAGCACACAAACGAUUGUGUUGCUUUCCCUUUUCCUGUCGAGGAUGGUGCUCGGAAGUUGUUGUUAUUGAAGAUCUUUCCUCCAUUGCGUUUUCUACAGGAUGAGGCUUUAAGGGGGGCUUCCCUUUCUGGGUAUGCUUUUAACAGAGCGACACAUAUUCAACACUACCAAGUGUGAUUUAACAGAAAGAUAGUUGCAUCUCUGUCAUUCUUUUGAACUGCAAUCCAG
ensembl:lncRNA